UACAGAGGUCCCAAGCGUUGUUCGGAUUUACUGGGCGUAAAGGGUGCGUAGGCGGUCGGGUAAGUCUGGUGUGAAAUCUUCGAGCUUAACUCGGAAACUGCACUGGAUACUAUUCGGCUAGAGAGUUGGAGGGGGGAUUGGAAUACUUGGUGUAGCAGUGAAAUGCGUAGAUAUCAAGUGGAACACCAGUGGCGAAGGCGAAUCCCUGGACAACUUCUGACGCUGAGGCACGAAAGCUAGGGGAGCAAACAGG
rnacentral:rRNA from 1 species